AACGCACAUUGCGCCCGCCAGUACUCUGGCGGGCAUGCCUGUUCGAGCGUCAUUUCGACCAUCAAGCCCCCGGGCUUGUGUUGGGGACCUGCGGCCGCCCGCAGGCCCUGAAAACCAGUGGCGGGCUCGCUAGUCACACCGAGCGUAGUAGCACCUAUCUCGCUCAGGGCGUGCGGCGGGCGCCGGCCGUUAAAGGACGAUGGGAACUUACCCCCCCAAGGUUGACCUCGGAUCAGGCAGGAAUACCCGCUGAACUUAA
rnacentral:misc_RNA from 1 species